rnacentral:rRNA from 1 species
CACGCAUGACACACUGCAUAUCAAUAAGCGGAGGAAAAGAAACUAACAAGGAUUCCCUUAGUAACGGCGAGUGAAGCGGGAAGAGCUCAAAUUUGAAAUCUUCAAGGUUCUACCUUGACGAAUUGUAGUUUAUAGAAGUGUUUUCUGUUAGUAGAGUGGCAAAAGUUCUUUGGAAUAGGACAUCAUAGAGGGUGAGAAUCCCGUAUUUGGUCAUUCCUUCUAGCGUUGUGAUACACUUUCAACGAGUCGGAUUGUUUGGGAAUGCAGUCCAAAAUGGGUGGUAAAUUUCAUCUAAAGCUAAAUAUUGGCGAGAGACCGAUAGCGAACAAGUACCGUGAGGGAAAGAUGAAAAGAACUUUGAAAAGAGAGUUAAACAGUACGUGAAAUUGUCAAAAGGGAAGCGUUUGACACCAGUGUUGUUUUUCCGAAAAUCAAUUACGAAUGUUUUAUUUUUGAGGAGUUAUGACUUCAUCGGCUUGCUCCUUUCUUUACGAAACUUUCUUAAUGCACUUUUCGGUUAACAAGUCAACAUCAAUUUCUUUUGUUGUAAAAGGGUAUGAGGAAGGUGGCUUUCUUUUCGGAGAAAGUGUUUAUAGCCUUGUAGCCUCUGCAAUCGGAGAGAUUGAGGUCUGCAGCGUAGAUCCUUCGGGGUUAGAUACAGUUUGUGCUAAGUUAUAGCUUUUCAUAGACAACUUGUUGACUAUGUUAAGUCUUGUAGCUUACUCGCUUAUGCUAUUUUACCUACGCUUAGGAUGUUGAUAGUCACAGCGUGUAC